rnacentral:lncRNA from 1 species
AACAGCUUGCUGGCUUGCAAAAAAGAGAAACAGGGCUCUUUGGGGAGCUGUCAGAAAGAGCAGAUGCAGCCCCAGCAUGGUGCUCCUGAUCCCCGCAAGUGAAAACGUGUACCAACCUCCAUCAACGGUAGACUGCAGAGUUCAGCGCAUGCUUCCCAGAGAGUUCCUCCUUCCCUACUGGGCUUUAAGAAGCUUCUCAGGAGGGAAUUAACCCCUUGGGUCUCGGAUAAACACAUCUCUUGCGGGACAGUAACUGUCAAAAGCUGGUACUGACACUGGAGACAAAAGAACUUCUUGGGGAGCACAUGUCAUCCUUAUGCAGCUCUCGCAAACAUCUGAUCAUUUCUUGUUCCUGCUGUCAUUGGUGAUACUGAUUGUGGUGUUAUUGGGACUCUACCAGAGAAACAGAAUGAUCGGAUAUAUGUACCGACCGUCAAGGACACUUCCCAAAUCCCCACCUCCACCCAUGACAUCUAGAUGGGAGCAUGUGGCAGAUUGCAGCCAAUGGAAUAUAGGCAGAAGUGACAUACACAUCACCUCCAGAUCUGGCCAGAGAACCCUCUGUAGAUGCUCCCAACCCCUUUUCUUCCCCACAGCUGUGGGAUGA